UACGGGGGGGGCAAGCGUUGUUCGGAAUUACUGGGCGUAAAGGGCUCGUAGGCGGCCAACUAAGUCAGACGUGAAAUCCCUCGGCUUAACCGGGGAACUGCGUCUGAUACUGGAUGGCUAGAGGUUGGGAGAGGGAUGCGGAAUUCCAGGUGUAGCGGUGAAAUGCGUAGAUAUCUGGAGGAACACCGGUGGCGAAGGCGGCAUCCUGGACCAAUUCUGACGCUGAGGCGCGAAAGCCAGGGGAGCAAACGGG
rnacentral:rRNA from 1 species